AUAAAACAAAAAAAAAAAAAAGCCUCUCUGGUUACUAUCUCUUUCUUCUACCAGUGUUCUCAACUGUCCCCCUGCCCCAUCCGAACAGGGGGCGGCUCUCCUCUAUGCUCAAUGGUGGAUUUUCUUCUUCAGUGCUCUCAGGUGGCGGUGUAAAUAUCUGGUUUUGCUUGUUUCGGGUUGCAGGUCGUGCUUUUCUUGGAGCGGAAGAUCAAGGAAACCUUUAGCUGUGGUUCCUACUAGAUGCAGGUGCCGAUGUGGGUUUCGAUGGUAGUAAUUUAUUUGGUCUACUCUAGGGGUUAUGAUGUUUGGGUAUGGUAUCACUGUGGACUUUUCUAUUGCUUGUCCUAAGCAACUCAUCCCUUAAAGUCUAAAGGACAUUGAGACGUCAAGAGCCCUGCUAUAUUGCCCCUCGGAGAUGCGAAGUUUGGUCCUUGAGUUGUCUGUGACAAAGCAACUGAGAUGCUUGACUUGGCUAGGGUGUCUAUUUUGUGGCCUCUUUGAGCUUCAAUAGGCUUGAAGUCUGAUGUAGAGAG
rnacentral:misc_RNA from 1 species